UAGUCCACGCCGUAAACGAUGUGCACUUGGUGUAGGAGGUAUCGACCCCUUCUGUGCCGAAGCUAACGCAAUAAGUGCACCGCCUGGGGAGUACGAUCGCAAGGUUAAAACUCAAAGAAAUUGACGGGGGCCCGCACAAGCGGUGGAGCAUGUGGUUUAAUACGAAGCAACGCGUAGAACCUUACCAGGACUUGACAUGCUAGUGGUACUCUUAAUGAAAGUUAGGAGGACUCUUCGGAGAGCUAGCACAGAUGUUGCACGGCUGUCGUCAGCUCGUGUCGUGAGAUGUUGGGUUAAGUCCCGCAACGAGCGCAACCCUUGUCUUUAGUUGCCAGCACAUAAUGGUGGGCACUCUAAAGAGACUGCCUGUUUUAAGCAGGAGGAAGGUGAGGACGACGUCAAGUCAUUGUGGCUCUUACGUCCUGGGCUACACACGUGCUACAAUGGUCGGUACAAAGGGCAGCUAAUCCGCGAGGUGGAGCAAAUCCCAAAAAACCGGCCCCACGUUCGGA
rnacentral:rRNA from 1 species